GAAAUGCGAUAAGUAAUGUGAAUUGCAGAAUUCAGUGAAUCAUCGAAUCUUUGAACGCACCUUGCGCUCCUUGGUAUUCCUUGGAGCAUGCCUGUUUGAGUAUCAUGAAAUCUUCAAAGUAAAUCUUUUGUUAACUCAAUUGGUUUCUACUUUGGUAUUGGAGGUCUUUGCAGAUUCACACCUGCUCCUCUUUGUUCAUUAGCUGGAUCUCAGUGUUAUGCUUGGUUCCACUCGGCGUGAUAAGUUAUCUAUCGCUGAGGACACUGUAAAAGGUGGCCAAGGUAAAUGCAGAUGAACCGCUUCUAAUAGUCCAUUGACUUGGACAAUACUUUUAUGAUCUGAUCUCAAAUCAGGUAGGACUACCCGCUGAACUUAAGC
rnacentral:misc_RNA from 1 species